rnacentral:rRNA from 1 species
GACGAACGCUGGCGGCGUGCUUAACACAUGCAAGUCGAACGGAAAGGCCCUGCUUUUGUGGGGUGCUCGAGUGGCGAACGGGUGAGUAACACGUGAGUAACCUGCCCUUGACUUUGGGAUAACUUCAGGAAACUGGGGCUAAUACCGGAUAGGAGCUCCUGCUGCAUGGUGGGGGUUGGAAAGUUUCGGCGGUUGGGGAUGGACUCGCGGCUUAUCAGCUUGUUGGUGGGGUAGUGGCUUACCAAGGCUUUGACGGGUAGCCGGCCUGAGAGGGUGACCGGCCACAUUGGGACUGAGAUACGGCCCAGACUCCUACGGGAGGCAGCAGUGGGGAAUAUUGCACAAUGGGCGGAAGCCUGAUGCAGCAACGCCGCGUGCGGGAUGACGGCCUUCGGGUUGUAAACCGCUUUCGCCUGUGACGAAGCGUGAGUGACGGGAAUGGGUAAAGAGGCACCGGCUAACUACG